rnacentral:rRNA from 1 species
ACUCCUACGGGAGGCAGCAGUAGGGAAUCUUCCACAAUGGGCGCAAGCCUGAUGGAGCAACGCCGCGUGUGUGAUGAAGGGUUUCGGCUCGUAAAACACUGUUAUAAGAGAAGAACGGCACUGAGAGUAACUGUUCAGUGUGUGACGGUAUCU